rnacentral:misc_RNA from 1 species
CGGGACACCAAGCGAGUACACAGCAUUCUGGCAGUUAGUGGUGAAGCAACGAGUGUCCCUGUGUCUGUGCGUCUGUGUCCUGCCACGGAAGCACUCUGGGCCCUGGCUGUAGCUUUCCCUUUGGUGUCCAUCACACAUACGCGCGCACACACGUGUAACACAUAGACACCGCAUCCUUUGUUGUUGGUGGGGCAUAAUGGGAGGCAAGGCGAAGCCAACGAAGCACACGGCCGGUGAGACGGCGCGCAAGAACCACCUAGCCACCACAAACAUGGGUGGUGGCUCGGCUGGUCUGGUGGAUCGCAAGGGCGGUGUGGCUGGUCACUCGAAGUUCAUCUGCAAGGUGUGCAUGGCACAAGCCCCCGACCUCAAGUCCAUGCGCAUUCACUUCGAGUCAAGGCACCCGAACGAGACCUUCAACGAGAACGACUUCGAGGAUCUGCAUGAGAAGUACGGCGGGACGACGAGGGGGGUUGCGGUGCACGGCAGUCUGAAGAAGGACAAGAACAAGAAGAAGGAGUGACGUGGAUAGCAGCAGGGCCGCAUCAACAGCACGCCAACAAAAGCAAAGAAAACUGUUCAAGCCAAAUGAAAAGCGGGGUUGUGAGCAGUGCGCGGACGAAGAAUGAGAAAAGAGGAUGGCGGAAGGUUGUGAGCCUGGCACGUUGGCCCUCUCUGUCCCGCACCUCCUCCCACCCCUGCCUCUUAACCGCCACUAAUGAAACCUCACCACUCCUAAAACCCACCUAACCAUCCUCGAAGUGAGAAAACUAAAUACAUAGCACAUGCGUUGAUAUGUAUGCGGGAUGUCGCGUGCAUCUGGGCGUGUGCCGGAGGGGUAUCAGCACCACUGAGCGGCAGUUUUAAAAGAAGUUGGGCAGGAAGGAGAAAAACAGCAAAGGAAGCGAGAUGGCCAAGGGGGCACGUGGUCGGUGCACGCGAUGCACGCAACGAUAAAAUGAGCGAACAACAAUAACGCAGUGCAGCAUUAGCUUUCAGCGGAGAGCGCCACGCGGCUUCUCUUGCCGUUUCUGCUGUCUUUAUGCGUGUGUGUAUGGAACGUGGCGUUGGAAGAGAUCUGUCUCUGCUCAUGCAAAACGCGAACACGUGUGCCAUUCAGCCUUUUAGUGUUUUACUCUUUUUUUUUUGAGCUUCGUUUCUCUGGAACGGCUGCUUUUGGUCUGUCGAGGUGUGCGUCUGUGUCCGUCCCCUUAUGCGUGCGCGUAUGAUGGAACGAUGACGGUGUGUACUCUUCCGUCUGCGCAUGCCCCGUGCCUCCAACAUCAACCGCAGCAUCAUGCUUUCCGCCUCCUCACACACGCACACUUACCCUCCACCGCCCUUGAUCUCCGAACUAUUUCUCCAAUCCUGUGUGUAUGCGUGUGUGUGUGUGUGUGUGUUUUCGCGGCUGCGGUCGCCGUUCUGUCGCCGUGUCGGCCGUGCGCAGCGUGCAGGAGAGUUUCGUCUUGCUGUUGCUCCCUUCCUUUCGUAAUGCGCUUCUUACUGAGUGUUAUCUGUACGGUGUCCUGCAUGUGUAAGUAUGCAGAUGUGCGUGUUCGUGCUGACCUGCGUGCGCUGGCAGCCUUGUGUACUAUAUGUGUCUCAAGUUCCCUUUCCUAUGUGCUCCCGAACACACGGCAGCGCAGAAGCCCUCCCGCGAAAUGCAACAGCAGCUCCUUCUCCGUUCUCGUUCUCCCUCAUCUGUGUGUGGUGUUUCCUCCGUGCUUCUUCUUUUCCUCGUGUGCUACUCGUGACACUCGAUCACGGGAGGGCACACACCUCUCCGUGCGUGGCAUCUCAGGGUCCGGCGCCCCCACUCUUCAGGGGUGCCAGGCAGUCCACCUCCUCCCACCCCCCUAUCCCCGGCCGAUGCCGAGCCACCUCUGGUGACGGACAGGGUCAAGCACCUGCUACGUUGCGGGGUGGAGGGAGGCCAGGUCGUAUAUGGCACUGCGUCGGAGAGGCCUGCGGCCGUGCACACGCUUCUGCCGUCCAUGUAACGGGCAGAGAGUCAGCACGACUCGAGCGUAUCCCACCCGGGCCCUCACACUGCCUCCUGGUGUGUAUAGUCUGAGUGCCACCCGAGGGAUGCACCAGGGGUGGCGACCGGCAUGAUGGGAGCCGGCUGUGUGGCGACCUGCUGAGCAGUGGUGGGCAGAGCUUGAGGCAGGGGCCGUGCUCAGAUGGCUGGAGUCGGCACAUUGCUGCAACGCGUGUGUCCACGGCUGUGUCGCACCACGCGAUGGGGCCUAUAUGGCAGGCUAGGGAGUUUGUGUUGAGCAUAUUAACCUCGUGGUGUGGGGCCGAGAAUGGCCGCGGUCAAAAGCCCGCGAAAGAACGAACUGGAUGUGACAGAAACUCUGGAUACUGGCAUG